UGAAAGCCGGGAUCCUUUGACUUCCACAGUGGACUUAAUGUUCUUUUCCUCCUCUCUUUCAGGACAGGAAAAAUCGUUAAACUCCUCCCAUCUUUGCCAGAAGCUUCGGUGUUUAAGCAGCCAAAGCCAAGAGUCUUCAGCACCAGGGCUCUGUGUUACUAUUGGACAUGAAAUGAGUACACAGAAGCUUGGGCAACAGGUCUGCGCUGGAGGGCUCCUGGUCCUGCCCACGCUGUGGGGCCAGCAGGAACAAGGGGGAAUGUGGUGCCAGAGCUGUGUUCCGUCGGGCUGCGCUUCCCUCUGAGGACAGAGUCUGGGCUGAGAUGCUGUACUUAGCUCGGCAGACAGGCGCUGAGGAACCUGUCACUGCAGGAACCUGUCAGGCCUCGUGAGUUCAUAUUCUUCCCACUGGUGAAUUGGAAAUAAUUGUUGAUUAAUUGCAGAAAGGUUUUCUGGAUCCUUUCCCCUCUUGUGCCCCACAGCGGCCUCGGGCUGGAAAGGAGCAGGAGAAAGCCAAAGGGACCUCCCUGGUGUCACCAGGGCACUGUGGGGAAGAGAAUGGACACUGUGUGGGCAAGGGGAGGUGAGGAGUGACAGUCUGGGGCAAAAUCUGAGUUUGUCUGCAGGGAAAUAAGUAAGGGAUAUUUUGGAGGGGAAAGCUGAGGUUGUGAGUUCACCCAGCCUGGCCAAGUUGUGUUUGGACAAAGUGGCACCAGAGGUGAAGGUCAAUCCAGAGCCAACCCUGCUCAACCUCUAAAUCCCAGAAUAAAUUCUACAAGCUGUC